UUGGGGUCGAGCGUACGGUGGUAACUGUGUGUUUGAUUACACCAUGUGCUACUAACCAGGGAAGAAAUGGGCUACGAACGUAUCUUUGAGGGCCGGCCGAACGCUGCAGGCUGGUCAGGUCCUCGAGCGUCCAGCCCUGGCCUACGCUCCACUUUGUCCCUGAGCGUUUAAACGUUACUUCCUGAAUCUCAGACCCACAGCUUCUUGCAGGUUUCAUCGUGAGCCGGCUGCAAAUUUUGAACCUAAGUAAACCUCAGUCCGGAGGGCCUAGUGGUAAGGUGGGCGCUGUGUUUAUCUGAAGUGCUUAGCAAUAAAACAAAGGCAGUGAGUUGA